AUCGCCGAACGCGAGGCGGGAAGCGGCGCGGACCCGGAACAGUCAAGGAUGAAGUCCGACCAGCCUCCAGCCUGCACUCGCCCUGCAGGCCGUCACCGCCGCUAUGGACGCCACCCCGCCGCCCAGCGGGAAAGUGAGCUAUCCUGAGAUUACCACCAUGUGGGAGGCCCAAGCCCCAUGAAGAAGCCCUAGGGUCUGAGAUGCCAAGUGGACAACAAAAAAGGCACAGCGGCAGUGAGACAUAGGAAAUGCGAACAAAGAUACCACCUUGGAAACGUAUCAUCUAGACCUUGCAAUCCGACAUGAAGCCAGGCAGAGAUACUGCCCAGCAGAGCCCUUCCAACAGAACUGCAUGCAAAAUAAACAGUUGUAUUAAGCCACUAA